rnacentral:lncRNA from 1 species
CUUCAACGGUGGUCUAGACCACCCUUGAGCUCUAGCUCAACCGCGUAGAGCUAUAUCUUCUGUUUUUGUUUGUAAUUAUAUAAUACGGCAACACUGUUUCAAAGCAGACACUUGUAAACUAAAAUUUUUUUUUCAAAAGAUAUGACUUUUUUUUGAAUUUGUAUCGUAAUGGAAAAUAUAAUUGUAGAAAGUGAUAGUGAAACAAAAAAAGAAUGUUGGAAUGGUAAAAAAACUGCCACACAAAUUGCAAUCGAUUGUGAGGCUACAGAAGUGUUUUUGGGAUUGUUGAAAAAAAUUGGGAAACAUUGAAUGAUUCCAAGACAAGUAAAAGGCAAAUUUGGCAUGAAAUUUGCAGUAACUUGGAAGAAGCAGGAUUUUGUAUUCGUGGAGUUGACAAAAUCCAGACAUGUAAAAACAAGUGGGAAAACCUACGCAAGGAUUAUAGAAAUUAUAUAUCCAAAUUUCAGCAAACAGGAAGCGGUGCAAAUGAUACCCAAAAGAAGCCAAAGUUCUUUGAUUCCAUCGAAGCAGUAAUAGGCUCCAGCAAUCAUUCCUUUCGACCUCCUUAUGUGAGUGAUUCACUAUACCACAAUCCUCACAAGUUCAAAGUUGGUGAGAUCGG